rnacentral:rRNA from 1 species
AUUGAACGCUGGCGGCAGGCCUAACACAUGCAAGUCGAGCGGAUGAAGGGAGCUUGCUCCUGGAUUCAGCGGCGGACGGGUGAGUAAUGCCUAGGAAUCUGCCUGGUAGUGGGGGAUAACGUCCGGAAACGGGCGCUAAUACCGCAUACGUCCUGAGGGAGAAAGUGGGGGAUCUUCGGACCUCACCCUAUCAGAUGAGCCUAGGUCGGAUUGGCUAGUUGGUGGGGUAAAGGCCAACCAAGGCGACGAUCCGUAACUGGCCUGAGUGGAUGAUCAGUCACACUGGAACUAAGACACGGUCCAGAUUCCUACGGAAGGCAGCAGUGGGGAAUAUUGGAAAAUGGGCGAAAGCCUGAUCCAGCCAUGCCGCGUGUGUAAAAAAGGUCUUCGGAUUGUAAAGCACUUUAAGUUGGAAGGAAGGGCAGUAAAUUAAUACCUUGCUGUUUUGACGUUACCAACAGAAUAAGCACCGGCUAACUUCGU